AUAUGACUCGUAUUCCUAACAUGAAAAUGUGCACAUAAAUUCAGUUUCAAUAAAUCCAUUGUGUACCUAUUUUGGUAUGUAUAGCAAGUCCGACUUGAAGGUAUAUAUAAGACAAUUUUUUUUUUUUAUAUCGGCUCUUUCAAUGUUUUAAUUUUGCAUUAUUUUUCAAUGGUUAUAUGCAAUGUUGCCUAUCUGUACGCAUCCAUUGUAAACGAAAAACGGUUCUGAGCGAAGGUCGGUCAAAUAUGUUCAGAAAUUCAGUGAUUUUUUUGAUUGUCCGUAACAUUACUCUCAGCUUUUUUUAUUUUU